rnacentral:rRNA from 1 species
UACGAAGGGUGCAAGCGUUACUCGGAAUUACUGGGCGUAAAGCGUGCGUAGGUGGUGAGUUAAGUCUGUCGUGAAAAGCCCCCGGGCUCAACCUGGGAAUGGCGAUGGAUACUGGCUCGCUAGAGUGCGGUAGAGGAGAGUGGAAUUCCCGGUGUAGCAGUGAAAUGCGUAGAGAUCGGGAGGAACAUCAGUUGCGAAGGCGGCUCUCUGGGCAUCUCCUGACGCUGAGGCGCGAAAGCGUGGGGAGCAAACGGG